GGCAAAAUAGGCGAAGCAAUUGGUUGCUAAUUUUAUUUAUAUUCCUGUGAAUUCAUAUACCAAAUUGAACUUCGUAACUCACACAUGCAUACUGUCAGUCAUUCCAACAAGUUGACUUACCGUUCAGUCACUUUCCAUCCAAUAGACCCAUCAUGCUGUCACAAGCCUAAAACUAAUGUUUGAAGCUAACAUAUAGUGGAAUACAAAUCUGCGGAGUUAAGGAUCUUUUCUGAAUCUCGCAAUUUUGGUGGUGUAACCUGCAACAUUAUGUUUGUCGUUAUGACUGUUUUUACUUUGGUUUAGAAGGCAACCCAGCUAAGUGAAUAACCCGCCAUGUGUAUGUUGUACAUGUACCACUGUACCAGAUCUGCUGCUUGAUGAAAGAAAUGCCUUACUAAAUUCAUCAACCAUAUGAAAG